GAUUGAACGCUGGCGGCAGGCCUAACACAUGCAAGUCGAGCGGUAGCACAGAGAGCUUGCUCUCGGGUGACGAGCGGCGGACGGGUGAGUAAUGUCUGGGAAACUGCCUGAUGGAGGGGGAUAACUACUGGAAACGGUAGCUAAUACCGCAUAACGUCGCAAGACCAAAGUGGGGGACCUUCGGGCCUCAUGCCAUCAGAUGUGCCCAGAUGGGAUUAGCUAGUAGGUGGGGUAACGGCUCACCUAGGCGACGAUCCCUAGCUGGUCUGAGAGGAUGACCAGCCACACUGGAACUGAGACGCGGUCCAGACUCCUACGGGAGGCAGCAGUGGGGAAUAUUGCACAAUGGGCGCAAGCCUGAUGCAGCCAUGCCGCGUGUGUGAAGAAGGCCUUCGGGUUGUAAAGCACUUUCAGCGGGGAGGAAGGCGAUAAGGUUAAUAACCUUGUCGAUUGACGUUACCCGCAGAAGAAGCACCGGCUAACUCCGUGCCAGCAGCCGCGGUAAUACGGAGGGUGCAAGCGUUAAUCGGAAUUACUGGGCGUAAAGCGCACGCAGGCGGUCUGUCAAGUCGGAUGUGAAAUCCCCGGGCUUAACCUGGGAACUGCAUUCGAAACUGGCAGGCUAGAGUCUUGUAGAGGGGGGUAGAAUUCCAGGUGUAGCGGUGAAAUGCGUAGAGAUCUGGAGGAAUACCGGUGGCGAAGGCGGCCCCCUGGACAAAGACUGACGCUCAGGUGCGAAAGCGUGGGGAGCAAACAGGAUUAGAUACCCUGGUAGUCCACGCCGUAAACGAUGUCGAUUUGGAGGUUGUGCCCUUGAGGCGUGGCUUCCGGAGCUAACGCGUUAAAUCGACCGCCUGGGGAGUACGGCCGCAAGGUUAAAACUCAAAUGAAUUGACGGGGGCCCGCACAAGCGGUGGAGCAUGUGGUUUAAUUCGAUGCAACGCGAAGAACCUUACCUGGUCUUGACAUCCACAGAACUUUCCAGAGAUGGAUUGGUGCCUUCGGGAACUGUGAGACAGGUGCUGCAUGGCUGUCGUCAGCUCGUGUUGUGAAAUGUUGGGUUAAGUCCCGCAACGAGCGCAACCCUUAUCCUUUGUUGCCAGCGGUCCGGCCGGGAACUCAAAGGAGACUGCCAGUGAUAAACUGGAGGAAGGUGGGGAUGACGUCAAGUCAUCAUGGCCCUUACGACCAGGGCUACACACGUGCUACAAUGGCAUAUACAAAGAGAAGCGACCUCGCGAGAGCAAGCGGACCUCAUAAAGUAUGUCGUAGUCCGGAUUGGAGUCUGCAACUCGACUCCAUGAAGUCGGAAUCGCUAGUAAUCGUAGAUCAGAAUGCUACGGUGAAUACGUUCCCGGGCCUUG
rnacentral:rRNA from 1 species